rnacentral:tRNA from 1 species
GGGCGGAUGGUUUAGUGGUAUAAUACUCCCUUAGCAGGUUUCCGUCUACGGACCCAUGAUUGGGAGUGGUCCGGGGUUCGAUUCCCCGUUCGUCCA